rnacentral:siRNA from 1 species
UCCGCCUUUGGUGUGCAU